rnacentral:rRNA from 1 species
AGCGAACGCUGGCGGCAGGCCUAACACAUGCAAGUCGAACGAACUCUUCGGAGUUAGUGGCGGACGGGUGAGUAACACGUGGGAACGUGCCCUUUGGUACGGAAUAACUCAGGGAAACUUGAGCUAAUACCGUAUGUGCCCUUCGGGGGAAAGAUUUAUCGCCAUUGGAGCGGCCCGCGUCUGAUUAGCUAGUUGGUGAGGUAACGGCUCACCAAGGCGACGAGCAGUGGCUGGUCUGAGAGGAUGACCAGCCACAUUGGGACGGAGACACGGCCCAAACUCCAACGGGAGGCAGCAGUGGGGAAUCUUGCGCAAUGGGCGAAAGCCUGACGCAGCCAUGCCGCUUGGAUGAUGAAGGUCUUAGGAUUGUAAAAUCCUUUCGCCGUUGAAGAUAAAGACUGUAGACGGAGAAGAAGCCCCGGCUAACUUCGUGCCAGCCGCCGCCGUAACAC